UUUUGCUGAGUAACUUUCUCUGAAAGCAAGAUGAUUUAAAAUGGAUAUACUCCAGUCACCUCUUGGACUAAAGAAAAGAUUAUUCAUCAGCUACUGACUGGUUUUGUGGAGUAAAACAAGCUGUCCUGAGAGGUGAAAAGUGACUUCAGUUCCUUUCCAGCAACAGGAUGUAGAACAGUGUACACAUCAUCCCUUGGAAGUACUAGUAACUUAGUAAGAUUUAGAGUACUGCAUUUGUUCUUUAGCUACCAUGUUUGUUUCCAGAAUCUAUCAUUCGUCAAAAGAUACAGGAAAAAGAAACAGAAACUGCAAGCACGUUUAUUAAGAACUGGUUUACAAACACUCUGCUGUGCCUGGCCCUUUGGUUUUCUUCCCUUUUUUAAAAUUGGAAAUUGCAUUUUUGCUGCAGAAAGUAAAAUACCCUUUUAUGAUUGGUCCAUUAAUUACUGGAUCUUUACAAAUAGGUCUAAAUUUUCCCACAUGGAAGCAAGCAAAACAGAUGGAUUGGAAAAAAUGCUUGGUCUGCCUGUGGUGCCUAGCUGUGUCAUGAAAAACUGCUUAGCAAAUGCUGUUUACUGUCCCUUUGGCUAGAUGCAGGUUUAAGGACACAUGUCAACUGCCUAAUUUGCACACCUGUUCAUAGCAGCUUACACACUUCCUGGCUUGGGGGCUGCACUCACCUUCUAACCCACAUGAUGACACGUUAACAGACAUUUCUCAAACAAAAUAUUUCACACGCAACCAUUCUCAUCAUUCAGAGGGUACUCUUGGGAAAUAACAGUCUGGAAAUAGUUCUGAAAAAUGCUUGGGGCAAAAUCCUGCCUCCAGUGAAGUCAAUGACUGUUCUGUCACUGGGUUAAACACAUCCAGAAUUUCACUUGUGGUUUAGUUUUUCUAACGUAUUAAUAUGCCUCCACCUACAGCUUUACUCUGAAUACUAAUGUUUUUAAAUCCUGUCUAGGUUAAGUCAUUACCAAAAUAAUGUUGCCAGUUAGCAGUGAUACAAAACAAUGAUAAGAUUCAAUAAAGCCAUAACUACCAGGGGAAUGUAUCGAAGAAUAGAAAGGUAAGGCAAAGAGAAGGCAGGAUGCACUGUUCUCCUAGGUAUCCCAGAAAAACCAGAUCAUAAAAGAGCAAUACAUAUAGUUGAUAAAACUGCCAUAUCCAUGAGCUUUUACAAAGAGAGGCCACCAGUGAUCAUGUGCAGAAAACAAAGGACAUGUGACUUUUCAUUUGAAAGAGAAUUCCAGAAAUUCAGUGCCAACUGUUUCUAAAAUACUGCCUCGAUGAGUUAUUACUUCUACAUAUUUUUUACAACCUUGUAACACCAAAUACUGUCAUGGAAAGGUCUUAUUUUGUGUCGCUGCACACACUGAACUGUCUAAGAGAUUCUGAAGUGUACCAUGACACUGCAGUACGACUGUAACAGGGUUUUUCACAUGCCCCGGGAAGAACGAGCUGUGCCCCUCCUACCUUUUGCCAACAGCCAGGCAUUGGUAAUCCAUCAGGACCCUGUUUCAGGGUUAGGGAGAGAAGGGCAGGGAAGAAGAGCAUAGUUAGGUUUGACAGAACAGACAUUCUAUCAGUAUCUGUCAGAACAGCUGAAGCAACUUUGCCUUUCUAUCUAAUAAAUAGCUACCAUUUCCUAACUUACAGGUAUCUCUCAUUCUCAAGGUGAAGGAAAAGCUAAAGGAGAAGUUUACAUUGUAAAUACAUACGUGCCUCCCUGCCAUAAAGGACCUGCAGGGCCAUGUGGACCAGCUGGGCCAUCUAUACCCUAAAAAAGGAAACAAAGAGGAGCAGUAGCACUGAAAACCCUGAAGUUUUGGAAACAGACCUGAGAGAUCCCACAAAAGCCUGAGUCUCCGGCCAAAAGCCUGAGGUAAAUAUGCUGAACAGGAGAGCUCCAUGUAUGUGUGUGCACGUGUCAGUGAAAAAUCCAGAAAAUACCUCCACUCCGAAAACAUGGAGGAGGAGGAAGAAAAGGAGGAAAGAAGGAAUGUCAAUAUUAUACUACCUGAACUGAAAAGCAGACACUUCUGCUGAACCUGUGUGGUUUAUUACAUGAAUUCAGCAAAUUAGAAAACAGCAUGCAAAACGGAUUUUCUCUGCUUCAGCCUGGGAGCUACAAUGGUCAAAGAGUUCAGACUGAUACUGAAAGUUGAAGAGGGCACGACUUUAGCUGGUACAAAUUAUGCUGACUCCAUGACCGUGUAUGUAGGUAGUGUCUUUACUUUGUAGACCAAACAGAGUUCAUUUAGAUCGCAAUUCUACAGCUGUGAACACAAAACUGCCAUUGUCUUCUGGACUAAAUUGGAAUAUUUGACUGUAUUUCCAUUUAAAAGCUCACUCACCAAGCUUCUAUGCUGUUUUCCAGCAGAAAAAGAUGUGUUCACAGAUUUAAAACUAACAAAAUAUUUCCAGUGUAAAAUCAGACUGACCUUUGG